UUUCAGAUCACAGCAUUACAAGCACUACUGACUCUCCACCGCACAAUAUCUGACCAUCUAUUCAGAGCACGACCUGCAUUUUUCUCAGCAGCUGAACACCUGUUUUUGGAUUUUCUCAAAGCAGCAGUUCUUCUGUAUUGUUCUUCCCAAUCAUUAAACCCAACCCACCCUUUCCCUCCCC